rnacentral:rRNA from 1 species
CCCUUAGAUGUUCUGGGCCGCACGCGUGCUACACUGAGUGGAUCAGCGGGUCAGGUUGCGCGAAAGUGUGUCCUAAUCUUUAAAUCCGCUCGUGAUGGGGAUUGACGGUUGCAAUUUUCCGUCAUGAACGAGGAAUACCUUGUAAGCGCGGGUCAUCAUCCCGCGCUGAAUACGUCCCUGCCCUUUGUACACACCGCCCGUCGCUCCUACCGAUUGAGUGGUCCGGUGAGGCUUUGGGAUCUGAGCGGAAAGAGCGUUUCGCUGUUUCUGCCCGGAAAACUCAGUCGAACCUUAUCAUUUAGAGGAAGGAGAAGUCGUAACA